rnacentral:lncRNA from 1 species
AAACCACAUGGGCAGGAAUGAGCAAAUUGUCUUUGUAAUACAGGAAGAAGGCCUUGUUUGACUGCCACAGAUGGGACAUUUAGUGGAGUAAGAAGACUGGUGUGAGAACGGGGUGUUGGUGUUAAUGUUUGGAUUACGGUCCUAGAUGCUGAGAAUUCCUACAGUGGAAGGAGCUUUGGAAUAAGAAACUCGUGAUCUCACCCUUGCCUUGGCGCCCCCAUCAGCUGUGUGACCCUGGCACCCAUCAGAUAAGCAACCCGGGCUGUUGAGAGGACGAUGUUAACUGACCCCCAAGGCAGGACCAGGUGCUGAAGUCCUGCUCUUUCAAAGAUGAUGAACCAGAGAAUACUGUGUCACUGCUUGUUCCAUUCCUGUGCUGGUACUGGCAAGUGGGAAAGCUGGGAUUCAAAUCCAAGUCUGUGUCUCCAAAAGUCCAUGUUGAAGCUGUUCUUGUUGCUGAAUUUAAUGAACCUCUAACACAUGAUCCAAUGGAGAAAGUGAUCCAAUGGAAAGGAUCCAAUGGAGAAAGUGUCACUGAGCUGGGCCGCAGAGCUGGUUAUCAAGGGUAGUCUACGAAGUCAGAGGUAAGCUUGACACAUGGUGGUAGAAUGAAGUUCACGGUGCUGUGUAGUUGUCCCUUUUUCUUGAAUUACCGUGGGGCUGACAUCCAGACUAAAGUGCUAUUCUAUGACCUUUCUACCAGUUCCCUCUCAGAAUCACUCAAAAGAAAAUAGAGAAAUGAGAAAGAGAGGCGUGAAUUUAUUUUUUGAUGAAACUAGGAAAACAGGUUACCCCAAAUCACAAUGUAUGAGAAAGGGGUGGCAAUGGCUGUGAAAAUUAAACAGGAAUGUGGAGAGACUGAGAAAGGCUGCUUCAGCUGCUGACGUCAGAGAAAGCUGGGGGGAAAGAGUAGGACUAUCUCGAAGGCCCAAACCAGCAGCCUCUUGUUUGUAACGACUGGGAUGAGCAUGGAAUCUGACUGCAGACGUUAUCUCUGGACCUCAUCUGGCAGAGAGAUGAAGCUCAGUAGGCAGAACUGAAUGAGGAAAUCACCCAAACAAGCCAUAGAUGUAAG